GCUGUUAAGGGUUCGUAGUUGAAUUGAGGCCUGCCAAGUUGACGGUUCCGUCCUACCUUCCGAAUGGGGUCAGUGACCACCGCUCUUGCUGGCCGUGAACAAACUGAGGAAACAAAUUCUCGCGGGACGACAAGCAUUGCAUCCUUUCCCAGGCUUUGCCAUACGCAGCCGUGUUAUGCGGUUGUUCGCAUGCGACGCAUGCAUGGGGGGGCGCCCGCGAUUAUUACUGUGACUAAAAAGCGUGACUAAAGCAGUCAAUCGACAUGAAUUAGAAAGCAUGGGAUAACAAAGGAGCGCCUAUGGGCUACCGGUUCGGCUUUUGUUGGUUUUGAAGGUCUGUGGGAGAUUAUGGGUCCUAUCGACAAGCGUUUCGGGAGCACCUUCAAGGUUUGCCUUCCCGUCGCCUCCAUUGGGUUCCGGUGUCACUUGUGUGCACUUCCAGUGGCGUGUGGUGCCCAGGAAUGAAGGAGGGUUGUUCGGGGGGAACGUACUUGAGCGUGAGAGGUGAAAUUCUUAGACCGCUCAAAGACGACUACAGCGAAGGCAUUCUCCAAGGAUACCUUCAUCAAUCAAGAACUAAAGUG
rnacentral:rRNA from 1 species